rnacentral:rRNA from 1 species
GACGAACGCUGGCGGCGUGCUUAACACAUGCAAGUCGAACGGAAAGGCCCUGCUUUUGUGGGGUGCUCGAGUGGCGAACGGGUGAGUAACACGUGAGUAACCUGCCCUUGACUUUGGGAUAACUUCAGGAAACUGGGGCUAAUACCGGAUAGGAGCUCCUGCUGCAUGGUGGGGGUUGGAAAGUUUCGGCGGUUGGGGAUGGACUCGCGGCUUAUCAGCUUGCUGGUGGGGUAGUGGCUUACCAAGGCUUUGACGGGUAGCCGGCCUGAGUGGGUGACCGGCCACAUUGGGACUGAGAUACGGCCCCAACUCCAACGGGAGGCAGCAGUGGGGAAUAUUGCACAAUGGGCGGAAGCCUGAUGCAGCACCGCCGCGUGCGGGAUGACGGCCUUCGGGUUGGACACCGCUUUCGCCUGUGACGAAGCGUGAGUGACGGUAAUGGGUAAAGAAGCACCGGCUAACUACGUG